rnacentral:rRNA from 1 species
GUUUUAUAUUUCUGCAGAAUUAUGUGAUGGAGCCUUGAUAUGUACCAUGACUUAAGUUCUGGACGUGCAUCGAGUAAAUGCAGCAGCCUUGAUGUUUGAAGUUACAGGGGCAUGGACUCUAAUUUGCAACCACAAAGUUUAUACCGUUGUUGUGUGGGUCAGUCUGGGAAAUUUGCACAUCCAACUAUUUGAUCUGGGAAAUGCAACGCCUCGCCACAGAAGGGGGCUAGCCCGUCCAUGCUCACCGGUCUGGUUGUCUGGGGGCGAGGAGGGGGCGCAGCCGCGCCCGGAGGAGGUCAUCUCGGCGCCCGCAUCCUCGUCGUCUACAUUGCCCACACAGCAGGUCGUCGCUGCUGAUUAGAUCCUCUUGAAAAUAGUUAAUUUAAACUCAAGUAAAAAAAUCCCAUGUUGUUUGCUGGCCUCUUUUGAAGUUUAUUCUAACUUGCUAUUGAUUAGAUCCUCUUGCAGUUAUGUUGUGUUGUUCCAUAAAUUGCAGGCUUGAUGUAUAUAUCUAUGACUGUUUUCCCAAGAAUAACAUGCAGACGACGGCCAACGCAUUCAUGGUGGAGGGAAAGAUUGGUGUUGAUCCUGUUUGUAAGUUUCCCCCACGUACUGUUGUUAUUU